rnacentral:rRNA from 1 species
UACGGAGGGUGCAAGCGUUAUCCGGAUUCACUGGGUUUAAAGGGUGCGUAGGUGGGCAGGUAAGUCAGUGGUGAAAUCUCCGGGCUUAACCCGGAAACUGCCGUUGAUACUAUCUGUCUUGAAUAUAGUGGAGGUGAGCGGAAUAUGUCAUGUAGCGGUGAAAUGCUUAGAUAUGACAUAGAACAUCGAUUGCGAAGGCAGCUCGCUACACAUAUAUUGACUCUGAGGCACGAAAGCGUGGGGAUCAAACAGG